UACGUAGGGUCCGAGCGUUGUCCGGAAUUACUGGGCGUAAAGAGCUCGUAGGUGGUUUGUUGCGUUGUCCGUGAAAACUCACAGCUCAACUGUGGGCGUGCGGGCGAUACGGGCAGACUGGAGUACUGCAGGGGAGACUGGAAUUCCUGGUGUAGCGGUGGAAUGCGCAGAUAUCAGGAGGAACACCGGUGGCGAAGGCGGGUCUCUGGGCAGUAACUGACGCUGAUGCACGAAAGCGUGGGUAGCAAACAGG
rnacentral:rRNA from 1 species